UCCCACGAUCGUGCCUAGGGCACGAUCGUAUAUGGUGGAUGGGCCCGGUCUUUUCGGGCCGGCCCAUCCACCCCUCUUUUUUUUUUCCUUUUUUUGGGUAUUACAUUAUGAAAUCCCAGCAUCUGAAAUCACGGUCGUGGCCGAUCGUGCUGGUGCCGAAUCGUCGACCGCAACAGGUUAGUUCGCCCCCCUUUCCCACUCCUCUUCUUCCAUUUUCCUAUUCUUCCUCUUCCCCUCUUCUUCUUCUAUUUUUCUUUUAUUUUAUUUCCUUCUUUCUCUGUUUUUAUGUUAUAGCUAGAUUAGGACAUGAAUCAUGAGGGAAGAGAGGGUUUAAGGGUUUAGCUACCUCCUUCCUUCGGUGAUUCGGCGGCAGUGUCGAGUUGGGGAUCCCUCCUCCUCCGGCGUCGCCGCUCCCGAUCCAGUUCCUUGCACAAAAGGAGGAGAGAGUGAGAGGGGAUGAAGUCUCUCUGUGAGGGAUGCGUGGGUAUUUUCUGGAUGAGAAUGAAGCUCCU
rnacentral:lncRNA from 1 species